UAUAUGCUCCCUCCGUCCAAUAAAAGAUGACUCAAAUUUAUCAAAAUUUGAAUGUAUCUAGACAUGACUUAGUGUAUAGAUGACAUUCAAAUUUAGUCAAACGUGAGACAUUUUUUGUUGGACGGAGAGAGCACAAA
rfam:Brachypodium distachyon strain Bd21 chromosome 3, whole genome shotgun sequence.